UACGUAGGGUGCAAGCGUUGUCCGGAAUUAUUGGGCGUAAAGAGCUCGUAGGCGGUCUGUCGCGUCGGCUGUGAAAACCCGGAGCUCAACUCCGGGCCUGCAGUCGAUACGGGCAAACUGGAGUGUUGCAGGGGAGACUGGAAUUCCUGGUGUAGCGGUGAAAUGCGCAGAUAUCAGGAGGAACACCGGUGGCGAAGGCGGGUCUCUGGGCAACAACGUGACGCUGAGGCACGAAAGCGUGGGGAGCAAACAGG
rnacentral:rRNA from 1 species